AAUGGUACAUGAUAGAAUGAAAUAUAGUUACCCAGGUCUCGGUUUUGUAGCAUAGAGGCUAAAAGGAUAAAAUAUAAAAUAAAAUAUAUAAAAGUUAAAUAGGGUAGAAUACAACAACCAUAAAAUAGGCAA